rnacentral:misc_RNA from 1 species
GCCCCGUGAACAUCCCGGACCCCGUGAUCCGCGCCAUGAACCGGCAGAACGAGGACUACCGCUCGCCGGCGGUGCCGGCGCUGACCAAGGUCCUGCUGGAGGACGUGAAGAAGAUCUUCAAGACCACGACGGGCACGCCCUUGAUGAUCCCGACGACGGGGACGGGCGCGUGGGAGAGCGCGCUGAUCAACACGCUGUCCUCGGGCGACAGGGUCGUGUCCUUCCUCAUCGGGCAGUUCAGCCUGCUGUGGAUCGACCAGCAGCGGCGCCUGGGCUUCGACGUGGACGCGGUGGAGAGCGAGUGGGGCCAGGGCGCCGACCUGGCCGCGCUGGAGCGCAGGCUCCGCGACGACGCGCCGCGGCACGCCAUCAAGGCCGUGGCCAUCGUGCACAACGAGACGGCCACGGGCGUCACCAACGACCUGGCCGCCGUGCGCGCGCUGCUGGACAAGCACGCGCACCCGGCGCUGCUGCUGGUGGACGGCGUGUCGUCCAUCUGCGCGCUGGACUUCCGCAUGGACGAGUGGGGCGUGGACGUGGCGCUCACGGGCUCGCAGAAGGCGCUGUCGAUGCCGACAGGGAUGGGCAUCGUGUGCGCCAGCCCCAGGGCGCUGGAGGCCAGCAAGACGGCCAGGUCCGUGCGCGUCUUCUUCGACUGGAAGGACUAACUCAGGUUCUACGACAUGGGCACGUACUGGCCCUACACGCCCUCCAUCCAGCUCCUCUACGGCCUCCGCACCGCGCUCGACCUCAUCUUCGAGGAAGGGCUGGACAACGUCGUGAGGAGGCACAACCGCCUUGGGACAGCCACCAGGCUCGCCGUCGAGGCGUGGGGGCUAAGCAACUGCUGCCAGAAGGAGGAGUGGUUCAGCGACAUCGUCACCGCCGUCGUCGUGCCGCCCAACAUCGACAGCGCCGAGGUCGUCAGGCACGCGUGGAAGCGGUACAACCUCAGCCUCGGCCUCGGCCUCAACAAGGUCGCCGGGAAGGUCUUCAGGAUCGGCCAUCUCGGCAACCUCAACGAGCUGCAACUGCUGGGAUGUCUGAGCGGUGUGGAGAUGGUGCUCAAGGAUGUGGGGUACCCAGUGAAACUAGGUAGCGGCGUGGCGGCCGCGGCGGCGUACCUGUCAAACUCCACGCCGCUCAUCCCAUCUAGGAUCUGAGAACAGUGUAAGGGGAUGAUAUCGCAAACAAGGCAGACGAACGAACAAAGCGUGCAGACAUCUCCGCUUCUGCUGCCUCGUAGAGCAGCUUAUUGCCUGCAGUAACAAACUAUCUCAGAAUGUAAAGUUAAAUUUCACACCCAGUUGUUGCUACAUAGUAGUAUAGUUUUAUGAAUUACAGGUUUGAUUAAACUUCAAAUUAAUCUACAUGUAUAGCCCUG